GGCCGGCUCCUGAAACCGCUCUUAAAGGGACCGCGCCUAAUUCCCAACCCCCAGCGCCCUAUCCCAGGAAAGAGGCCUAGGCCCGGGAGACCGCGCCCUUCUAGGGAUGAGGAAACUGAGACUUAGAUCAAGCCAGCAUGAAGGUGACAGAACCAAGGCUCGCGUAACAACAGUGUGCUUUGGAGUCACCAUCCACCAAUAAUCACUUAGCACCAACCUUUCGUUUGGUCUCAGCACAAGGUUUUGAAGCACCUGAUGUGUGCCCGAAUCCUGCUCCAUCCCAGCUGUUCAAAGGAAGUUUCCUCUGCCAGCCCUGACGUGGAGCAAUGCCCGACCAGACGCACGCGAGCCUCCGCAACUGAGAGUGCAAGUGAGAGCACCGGAAGGAGGGAGGGGAAGACGGAGAGGGAGAAGCAGAUCGUCCGCUGAACAGGGAGCCCCACACGGAGCUUGAUCUCAGGACCCCGGGGUCACGACCUGAGCCCAAGGCAGCCGCUUAACUGACUGAGCCACCCAGAGAUCACAAGUAGGCGGAGAGGCAGGUAAAGAGAGAGGAGGAAGCAGGCUCCCCACUGAGCAGAGAGCCCGAUGUGGGGCUCGAUCCCAGGACCCUGGGAUCAUGACCUGAGCUGAAGGCAGAGGCUUUAACCCAUUGAACCACCCAGGUGCCCCAGUAACUUAUUAUUUUUAACAAGAUCUAGUAACAGUUGUUACGUUAUUAUUCUAUUGUUAUUGAUUCUUUUAUUAAUUCCAUACUGGUUAACUUUUGUGUUGUUAUCAGUACCAGUUGUUAAUAUCAUGUUAAUGGUAUUAAUAAGCAUUUACUAAUGUUGUCAUCGGCUGCUGUUUCAUUACUGUUAUUAAUCCUGAGAGUCUCCAGCCCCUCGUUGGCAGGCAAUAGGCGUUCUCCCCGACGGUUUGAGAGCAAGGGCGGUGGCACCUGCUGGCUGAGGCUACCUCCUUUGCUUCAGGGCAAUUCGGAUAAACCUCCUUCUCACUCUGGGCCCCAGGGACCUAUGAAGUGGGAGGAGCCACGGCAAGAAGAGGAAAAUCGCAGUUCAGAGCGGGGGUGCUCUCAAAUCUAGGGCAAGGCGACAGAAGAGGUGUUUGUUGUAAACCCGUUGCCUUUAGAAGGAAAAGCAUGAACAGAGUGAGAAGUCUUUCGCGGAGAGAGCAUUGAAACAACCAACUUGGACUCGAGGGGACGCCUGGCAAGAAGAAAUUAAGCGAGAAGGGAAACCACUUUGGGCCUCAGAGAAAUCUGGCACGAGAGAAGGCUUGCACUGUGAUUAAAAAGGGGAAGAACCACAAGUCUCCAUUUAAGUCAACAAAACUGCUGUCUGGGCAGUGAGAGGGAAAGUGCUUGUGGCUGGCAGCUUUCAGCAACCAUUUGACAACUGCUGUGUACCUGCUGCUCUGUUGGCACCACCUGGCAGCUGUGUGACUGCAGGCAGGUAACUGCUCUCUCUAGGCCUCAGUCUCCCCAGAUGCCAUAUAGAGAUAAUAAUAUGGAGUGAUCG